UAGAGUUUGAUCAUGGCUCAGAAUCAACGCUGGCGGCGUGCCUAACACAUGCAAGUCGAACGAGAAAGUGGAGCAAUCCAUGAGUACAGUGGCGACCGGGUGAGUAACACGUGAUUAACCUACCCUCGAGUGGGGGAUAACUCCGGGAAACCGGAGCUAAUACCGCAUAACAUCGCGAGGAUUAAAUUUCUUGCGAUCAAAGGAGCAAUUCGCUUGAGGAGGGAGUCGCGGCUGAUUAGCUAGUUGGUGAGGUAACGGCCCACCAAGGCGAUGAUCAGUAGCCGGCCUGAGAGGGCGCACGGCCACACUGGAACUGAAAUACGGUCCAGACUCCUACGGGAGGCAGCAGUGGGGAAUUUUGCGCAAUGGGGGAAACCCUGACGCAGCAACGCCGCGUGGAGGAUGAAGUCCUUUGGGAUGUAAACUCCUUUCGACCGGGAAGAUUAUGACGGUACCGGAGGAAGAAGCACCGGCUAACUCUGUGCCAGCAGCCGCGGUAAUAC
rnacentral:rRNA from 1 species